rnacentral:rRNA from 1 species
GUUGAGCGGAGAUAUAUGGAGCUUGCUUUAUAUAACUUAGCAGCGAACGUUUGAGUAACACGUAGAUAAUCUAUCCUAUACUGGGGGAUAGCCCGAUGAAAGUUGGAUUAAUACCGCAUAUAGCUAUAUAGUUGCAUGAUUAUGUAGUGAAAGAUUUAUUGGUAUAGGAGGAGUCUGCGGCACAUUAGCUAGUAGGUGAGGUAAAGGCUUACCUAGGCGACGAUGUGUAGCCGGUCUGAGAGGAUGAACGGCCACAAUGGAACUGAGACACGGUCCAUACUCCUACGGGAGGCAGCAGUGGGGAAUAUUGCACAAUGGGGGAAACCCUGAUGCAGCAACGCCGCGUGAGUGAAGAAGGUUUUCGGAUUGUAAAGCUCUGUUAGCAGGGAAGAGGAAGGACGGUACCUGCAGAGGAAGCCACGGCUAACUACGUGCCAGCAGCCGCGGUAAUACGUAGGUGGCAAGCGUUGUUCGGAAUAACUGGGCGUAAAGGAUGCGUAGGGGGUUAAACAAGUUAUAUGUUAAAUAUAUAGGCUUAACCUGUAGAAAGCAUAUAAAACUGUUUAACUAGAGUGCAGGAGAGGUAAGUGGAAUUCCUAGUGUAGCGGUGAAAUGCGUAGAGAUUAGGAAGAACACCAGUGGCGAAGGCGACUUACUGGACUGUAACUGACGCUGAGGCAUGAGAGCAUGGGGAGCAAACAGGAUUAGAUACCCUGGUAGUCCAUGCUGUAAACGAUGGGUAC